rnacentral:rRNA from 1 species
CGACUCUCGGCAACGGAUAUCUUGGCUCUCGCAUCGAUGAAGAACGUAGCGAAAUGCGAUACUUGGUGUGAAUUGCAGAAUCCCGUGAACCAUCGAGUUUUUGAACGCAAGUUGCGCCCGAGGCUAUCCGGCCGAGGGCACGCCUGCCUGGGCGUCACGCCCAGCGUCGCUCC